UGGCUCAGCUACGCCCGCAAUCAGCACAAUAUGAAGAAAUUUGGGACCCUGACCCAGUUUUAUGUUAUCUAAAAACUCUUUGGCCGCACGACACUCUUCUGCUAUUGUAAAUGGUGCUUCUAAAUAUUCGUAUCAUUGUAAGAUUGAGAAAGUAAUACCUGAAAUGAUUGUUAAUAAUAUUC